rnacentral:rRNA from 1 species
CCUACGGGAGGCAGCAGUAGGGAAUCUUCCACAAUGGGCGCAAGCCUGAUGGAGCAACACCGCGUGAGUGAAGAAGGGUUUCGGCUCGUAAAGCUCUGUUGUUGGAGAAGAACGUGCGUGAGAGUAACUGUUCACGCAGUGACGGUAUCCACCCAGUAAGUCACGGCUAACUACGUGCCAGCAGCCGCGGUAAUACGUAGGUGGCAAGCGUUAACCGGAUUUAUUGGGCGUAAAGCGAGCGCAGGCGGUUGCUUAUGUCUGAUGUGAAAGCCUUCGGCUUAACCGAAGAAGUGCAUCGGAAACCGGGCAACUUGAGUGCAGAAGAGGACAGUGGAACUCCAUGUGUAGCGGUGGAAUGCGUAGAUAUAUGGAAGAACACCAGUGGCGAAGGCGGCUGUCUGGUCUGCAACUGACGCUGAGGCGCGAAAGCGUGGGUAGCGAACAGGAUUAGAUACCCUGGUAGUC